CCUACAUAAGAAAGACACAUCAAAAGCGAAAUCAGAAUCUGCCAAGUUUCGUAGAUCAAGUUCCACGGCACCUACAGGAAAUCUCACUCACUAGAAAAUGGUGAAAUUGGUACCAUUGGAAAGGUCUAUGUGUCCACUUUCCAGGGACACCAACCAUUUGAUCAUACCUAUCAUAUUGAGUGAGUUAUGGCCGUUUUCGUAAAGUAGGACGAAUCUGUCCGAGAAUCUGAUUUUGGCAAAACAGUCAACUUCGACUGGACUUUGUGAAUGUGAAUAGCUCCUGACGAACCAGAAUGUGUGUAAUAUACGAUUGGAAAGCUAAAUGAGUCUAGUUUCCAAAACCAUUUACAGUUCGUUCAUAUGUAUUUCCUAGAGGAAGUUACGACUGUUCUAGUAACUAAAGGUCAUGCUGCACGAAAAUUUGAUUUCCUGCACGAACUUAUGUUUUGAGUUCACAAGCGGCCUUCUCCUCAAGAUCUAAGUGUAAAAGAUCAUUUGAGGACAAUACGGUAUGAUUUAGUUAAUCAUUGUCCAAUGCCACAUUUGAAGACAUGUUAAAGAGCAUUGACAUGCUAAGUUGUUGAAACUUCCGUGAUUAGUAAAAAUCAGGAAGAGCCCUAUGAUUGAUGUAAAGAUCAGAGGUGCAAACUUCAGGAGGAGUCUAGCACAUACAUACAUGUCACUAUCAAAUGUGAAGAGUGCAUUGUACUCUUUUUCUCCUACGAUCAAGGUUCAGUUUUUCUCCCACAGGAUUUUUGUGACUUGAUAAAGUUUUUGACGAGGCAACAGAUCAGCACCAUCGGUAUAUCAGUGCGCGGCACAAGGGGGAGUGUUCUAGGAUAUUCUGUAUCUUUCUAGAUAUUCUUUAUGUGUGUCUUGGCCUUAUGCCAAUAGAAUAUGUAGUUAGACUAGAUCUAUGUAUUCAUAUCUUUACCAUAUUAGUAUUGUGUAAUUCCCUAUAUAAAGGGCUUAUCUCAAUGAAUAAGAUGAUGAUUCUCUUGCUAUCUCUUUGUCUAUACACUUUAUACUUCAUCAGUUAUCAAAAUAAGUGUGGUUUUUCUAGGAUUUUGUUAGAUUUGCUUAUGUUUUGUUCUUUUGGAUUUUUUGG
rnacentral:lncRNA from 1 species